GGUCCGCAUUGGAGUUGUGUCCUGGACUCUUCAUGUCCCUGUUUGCACACUCACGGGGCCCGAGA
rfam:Trypanosoma vivax Y486, WGS project CAEX01000000 data, contig: 6274